UACGUAGGGUGCGAGCGUUGUCCGGAAUUAUUGGGCGUAAAGAGCUCGUAGGCGGUCUGUUACGUCUGCUGUGAAAACCCAGGGCUUAACCCUGGGCUUGCAGUGGAUACGGGCAGACUAGAGGCAGGUAGGGGAGAAUGGAAUUCCCGGUGUAGCGGUGAAAUGCGCAGAUAUCAGGAGGAACACCGAUGGCGAAGGCAGGUCUCUGGGCCAUUACUGACACUGAGAAGCGAAAGCAUGGGGAGCGAACAGG
rnacentral:rRNA from 1 species